AAGGUGUUGUUUCAGCUCUCCAGGCUACGACUUUGGUUGCAUGAUGACCAGAGAAAUUUUAGCCACUAAAUUUGCAGUGUAUAAGUUGUCAAUUUGGCAAAUUGUGGUCAGCAGUCAUGGAACAAGCUGAAUUAAGGUUUAUGAUAAUCACUACAUUUUUAUGGUCUGAAAUAAGCUUACGUAAAAUAUUACUCAAUGACAUGAGCUCCAUUUUCUUCUGAUGAAAUUUGCCUCUUUCACAUUGGUUUCUCAAAAUUAUAUUAAAAUCCUUGAGAUGUUGGGUGAAUCGAUCUCCAGAUCAAAUGCUAGGCAUAAUACCCAGGACAAGUGACAAGUUUUGUAGGUCAUGCACCAUUACAAAUAUCAAUUGUGCUUUUUUCUGGAAAGCAACAUGAGCUUUUUUGGGUACCUCUUUACAAUCAUGGUCCCUAAAUUGGCAACUUUGAAAAAAAGGGUGGCAGCUUGGAGCUAUGUGGUUUAAGUAAAAAGGAUAUGGAAGAAGCUACAUUUUUAGCUUGGUUGUUGCAAUUGCUUAUUAGAUCCCAAGUGUGAGGGGGCAUCCAAUCAUACUACCAGUGCUACAAUUUCUACCAAGGUUACCACUACUGCAAUUACACCAAAUCCAGAUGCAAUAGGGACAGGAGCACCCAGGUCAUCAUCUUUCUGGAGUGAUUGGCAUUUAAAACAUAUAAUAGCAAUUCUUGUCUCUUUCGUUGUUGGUUGUCUUGGUUUUCCAUUGGUAUACUGCUUGUGCCCUUUCAAGUCCUGCUAUCGGAAAAGGAAGGAAUUACCAAUUGAAGCACACAUGCUUGAUGACGAGGAGGGUGAUCGAAACAUUGCAAGUCAGACCUAAAUCAAAUGAAUGAU